GACGAACGCUGGCGGCGUGCUUAACACAUGCAAGUCGAACGGAAAGGCCCUGCUCUUGUGGGUCGCUCGAGUGGCGAAAGGGUGAGUAACACGUGAGUAACCUGCCCUUGACUUUGGGAUAACUUCAGGAAACUGGGGCUAAUAACGGAUAGGAGCUCCUGCUGCAUGGUGGGGGUUGGAAAGUUUCGGCGGGUGGGGAUGGACUCGCGGAUCAUCAGCUUGUUGGUGGGGUAGUGGCUUACCAAGGCUUUGACGGGUAGCCGACCAGAGAGGGUGACCGGGCACAUUGCGACUGAGGUACGGCCCAGAAUCCUACGGGAGGCAGCGGUGGGGAGUAUUGCACAAUGGGCGGAAGCCUGAUACAACGGCGCCGCGUGCGGGAUGCCGGCCUUCGGGUUAUAAACCGCUUUCGAAUGUGACGAAGCGUGAGUGACGGUAAUGGGUAAAGAAGCACCGGCUAACUACGUG
rnacentral:rRNA from 1 species